rnacentral:rRNA from 1 species
GGUUGAUCCUGCCAGUAGUCAUAUGCUUGUCUCAAAGAUUAAGCCAUGCAUGUCUAAGUAUAAAUGAAUUUAAAAUGUGAAACUGCGAAUGGCUCAUUAAAUCAGUUAUAGUUUAUUUGAUAUGUAACCUUUACCAGUGGAUAACCGUGGUAAUUCUAGAGCUAAUACAUGCAUUCAAAGCCCCGACUUUUUGGAAGGGGUGUAUUUAUUAGAUAAAAAACCAAUACUGGGCAACCAGUUUUUGGAUGAUUCAUAAUAACUUUUCGAAUCGCAUGGCCUUUGUGCCGGCGAUG